GGGUCAGUAGGUUGGUCGUGCCACCGGUACGUACUGGUCUCACUGAUUCCUCCUUCCUGAAGAACCGUAAUGCCACUAAUUUGGUGUUGCGGGGAAACAGGACUGUUACUUUGAAAAAAUUAGAGUGUUUAAAGCAAGCUAACACUUGAAUACAUUAGCAUGGAAUAAUGAAAUAGGACGAUCGAUCCUAUUUUGUUGGUUUCUAGGAUUGACGUA
rnacentral:rRNA from 1 species